rnacentral:rRNA from 1 species
GAUUAACGCUGGCGGCGUGCAUAACACAUGCAAGUCGAACGAUGAAACUUUAAUGAACCCUUCGGGGAGAAUUAAAGCGGAUUAGUGGCGAACGGGUGAGUAACGCGUGAGUAACCUGCCUUACACAAGGGGAUAGCAUUUGGAAACGAAGAAUAAUACCCUAUAAAACCAUAAAAGCACAUGCAAUUAUGGUCAAAGUGAUAGCGGUGUAAGAUGGACUUGCGUCUGAUUAGCUAGUUGGUGAGAUAAAAGCCCACCAAGGCAACGAUCAGUAGCCGGCUUGAGAGAGUGUACGGCAACAUUGGGACUGAGACACGGCCCAGACUCCUACGGGAGGAAGCAGUGGGGAAUUUUGCACAAUGGGGGAAACCCUGAUGCCGCGACGCCGCGUGAUUUAGAAGGCCUUCGGGUUGUAAAAAUCUUUUGUAUAGGAAGAAAAUGACAGUACUAUACGAAUAAGGUCCGGCUAAUUACGUG